GUGGCGGACGGGUGAGUAACACGUGGGAACGUGCCUUUAGGUUCGGAAUAACUCAGGGAAACUUGUGCUAAUACCGAAUGUGCCCUUCGGGGGAAAGAUUUAUCGCCUUUAGAGCGGCCCGCGUCUGAUUAGCUAGUUGGUGAGGUAAAGGCUCACCAAGGCGACGAUCAGUAGCUGGUCUGAGAGGAUGAUCAGCCACAUUGGGACUGAGACACGGCCCAAACUCCUACGGGAGGCAGCAGUGGGGAAUCUUGCGCAAUGGGCGAAAGCCUGACGCAGCCAUGCCGCGUGAAUGAUGAAGGUCUUAGGAUUGUAAAAUUCUUUCACCGGGGACGAUAAUGACGGUACCCGGAGAAGAAGCCCCGGCUAACUUCGUGCCAGCAGCCGCGGUAAUACGAAGGGGGCUAGCGUUGCUCGGAAUUACUGGGCGUAAAGGGAGCGUAGGCGGACAUUUAAGUCAGGGGUGAAAUCCCGGGGCUCAACCUCGGAAUUGCCUUUGAUACUGGGUGUCUUGAGUAUGAGAGAGGUGUGUGGAACUCCGAGUGUAGAGGUGAAAUUCGUAGAUAUUCGGAAGAACACCAGUGGCGAAGGCGACACACUGGCUCAUUACUGACGCUGAGGCUCGAAAGCGUGGGGAGCAAACAGGAUUAGAUACCCUGGUAGUCCACGCCGUAAACGAUG
rnacentral:rRNA from 1 species